GCCUGGGUGGCUCAGUCGGUUGAGCGUCUGACUUCAACUCAGGUCAUGAUCUCACGGUCUGUGAGUUCGAGCCCCGUGUCAGGCU
rnacentral:tRNA from 1 species